rnacentral:rRNA from 1 species
AUUGAACGCUGGCGGCAGGCCUAACACAUGCAAGUCGAACGAGUGGCGGACGGGUGAGUAAUGUUUGGGAAUCUAGCUUAUGGAGGGGGAUAACUACUGGAAACUGUAGCUAAUACCGCGUACCAUAGGAUGAGCCCAAGUGGGAUUAGGUAGUUGGUGGGGUAAAGGCUCACCAAGUCGACGAUCCCUAGCUGGUCUGCGAGGAUGACCAGCCACACUGGGACUGAGACACGGCCCAGACUCCUACGGUAGGCAGCAGUGGGGAAUAUUGCACAAUGGGCGCAACCCUGACGCAGCCAUGCCGCGUGAAUGAAGAAGGCCUUCGGGUUGUAAAGUACUUUCGGUAGCGAGGCGUUAACCACAGAAGAAGCACCGGCUAACUCCGUGCCAGCCGCCGCGGUAAUUC